rnacentral:rRNA from 1 species
AUGUUCCUCCAACACCGCCGCCUCGGGGAAGGCUUGCAGAUCCUCCAAGAGCCUCUUCCGCAGCAUCGCGACGUCGAGAGUCGGCGGGGACGCCUCGCACGCCCCGGCCUCGUCGCCGGAGCUGGCCGCCUUCCUUUUGGGGGGAGAACGCUUGUCGUCGCCAGCCACCGCCUUCCGCCCACCGCGCUUGGUGCCGGCCAUCGGUGGAUCUACUGGCUCGCCGUGGAAAGUGGAGGGGUUGGUUGGGUUAGGGAUUGGGGAUCGCUGCGGCGGCGGCCGUGUCGUCUCCAUCAAUAUAAAUCCACGAACCCUACCGACCUUUUUUUCCGAGAGAGAUCUAUUCGGUGGGCUGGUCUACUCCGGACCAGGCUCAAGUUGGGCCAGACUCAGGAUCUACCUUUUUUUUUAAGACUCGGGUUCUAUACUUUCUCCCUCCUCUAUUUCAUUUUGUUUUUUUCUUGA